rnacentral:rRNA from 1 species
UAUGUAGGGUGCGAGCGUUGUCCGGAAUUAUUGGGCGUAAAGAGCUUGUAGGCGGUUUGUCGCGUCUGCUGUGAAAAUCCGGGGCUCAACCCCGGACUUGCAGUGGGUACGGGCAGACUAGAGUGUGGUAGGGGAGACUGGAAUUCCUGGUGUAGCGGUGAAAUGCGCAGAUAUCAGGAGGAACACCGAUGGCGAAGGCAGGUCUCUGGGCCACUACUGACGCUGAGAAGCGAAAGCAUGGGGAGCGAACAGG